AUGCCCGGAAACCGCACUUUCUGAACAUCACACAUCGCCGAGCUUUCAUUCCUAAAUGUGUAGAAAUUCCACUUUCCAUUACAAGAAAAAAGGAAACAUUGCAUCCUGUUCGACGCAAAUGUGUAUAAAUUGUCUGUGUGUAAAUAUUUAAACGUAGAAUAUUUUGGGAAUCUGUUUAGAGAUUUAUUAACCUGUCACACGAAAUGUGAUCAGGGAACGAUAAAAUACUGAUAUGACGUUCUUAAAAUUUGCUAAAGAUUUUAUCUUUGCAAUGUGUCAAAUUUUAAUUCAUUAAUGAAACUUAAUUUAAAAAUUCCGGUUUUCGUUUUGCUUCCAAUGCUAUUCUUAAUAACUGUGACAACAUGCCAGAAACCUUUGAAAAAAGCGCAACUUGGAGAUUUCCCUAGUCUUGUGAUCGUGAUAUUUGCAGGUGUCGGUCCAUUAUGCACUGGUGUUCUCAUUAGCAGUGUGCAUAUUACACUUCCUGGACACUGCGUCAUGGUCGGAGAGCCAAUUUUGAAAGAGUUUGCGACAGUCGUGGCUGGCGAUAACAACUGGAAAGGAGGUGGUCGAUCCAGGGAAGAACGAAACAUAAGCUGGGUUUUGCUUCACCCAAAAUAUAAUUGCCACACGUUCGAAUAUGAUAUCGCCGUAAUAAAGGUAAUUGCACCGUUUCCUCUAACAGAAUAUAUAAAUUUAAAGGCUAUCUCAGAUGCGCUCCCAGAAUUAGGAACGCAUUGUGUGGUGGCUGUAUGGGGUUCAAGAAGGACGUGUAUCUUUAUGAAGGGUUCAUUGCGCUAUGCUAAGGUUCCUGUGAUUCGUUUCGAAAGCUGUUCAAGACCGCCUGAACUAUUCAUCCGAUCUAAAAUGAUUUGUGCUGGAAAUUAUCAGGUGAAUGGGCGGUGUAGUGUGGCAAGACGUCAUGUGAUCCGCUUCAUAAUAGUUUGAAAUACACCGCAGUAUACGCUUUUCGAAACUUCUUACAAACAGCAGUUGUUCGAAGAAGUGGUGAACCAUUGGUUAUAGUUCAAGUUUCGGGCUCGAAGAAAAGUCACACUCGCAUCUGGAUUUUAUUUGGUGUUCUAGCAAAUACUUCUUUAAUUAAAAUUCUUCGCAUUUGUCUUAUUUAACAUGUGUUGGUUGAUUUUCAAAAUUUGUUGCGUAAUUAAUGUUUAUGUCCU
rnacentral:misc_RNA from 1 species